rnacentral:rRNA from 1 species
GAUGAACGCUGGCGGCGUGCCUAAUACAUGCAAGUCGAGCGAACAGACGAGGAGCUUGCUCCUCUGACGUUAGCGGCGGACGGGUGAGUAAUACGUGGAUAACCUACCUAUAAGACUGGGAUAACUUCGGGAAACCGGAGCUAAUACCGGAUAAUAUAUUGAACCGCAUGGUUCAAUAGUGAAAGACGGUUUUGCUGUCACUUAUAGAUGGAUCCGCGCCGCAUUAGCUAGUUGGUAAGGUAACGGCUUACCAAGGCAACGAUGCGUAGCCGACCUGAGAGGGUGAUCGGCCACACUGGAACUGAGACACGGUCCAGACUCCUACGGGAGGCAGCAGUAGGGAAUCUUCCGCAAUGGGCGAAAGCCUGACGGAGCAACGCCGCGUGAGUGAUGAAGGUCUUCGGAUCGUAAAACUCUGUUAUUAGGGAAGAACAAAUGUGUAAGUAACUAUGCACGUCUUGACGGUACCUAAUCAGAAAGCCACGGCUAACUACGU